CGAGCCUUCUUCUGUUUCAAUUACUUUUGAUUGAUUCCCAGGUCUGUGUCAGCCAUUCAGUGCAGCCGCCAUCCCAGGAACAAAUCUGCAGCAGCUGAAGAUGAAAAUAGCUCCCACGGCCACUUAGGAUGGGCAUUCGAGCUUCUGCUCUGAACGUGAGGCUGUUGCUGCUGGCGGCGGCGGCGGCAGCUUCUCUGACAAACGCACUGGGCAGCAUCCGGUUGUUGUAAACCUCCCAGAGUUGGAAGUUUGGAGUGGUACAGAAAUUUGAAAAAUAAAUAAACAUCUACAUGAAACUGAUGGGAGAGAUCAUCAGGACAUUUGGUGCAGCAUGUUAUCAAUAUUCUGAGGACAUCCAAAUCUAUUUCUCCAUAUCAACAUCAUCAACAGAAGGCUUGACUAGCAAGCCAGAGGUUGACAGUUCGAAUACCCACUGGCUUCUCAGACCCUUGUAGUUACGUAGGCCAGAAGCCGGCACGGAGCCAGAGAGGACCUGCUGCAACUGAAGCCAGUUUUAUGAUUUAUGGUGCUAAUAAGGCUCAACUGCCACUUCUUGUGGUUUCCUCCCAACUUGUCUUUGAUUAUUUCUGCUCGUAUUGCUGUUGCAGCUGCUGAAACUCAGUUGUGAAACCAAACUGUUUGACUCUUUUACUGGGGUUGCUCUCUUUAUCUAUGUUACUAUGGCAUUCUGGUUGUUGACAUGCAUGUUGUGCUAGUAACUAGAGGCCCACCAAGCCAGGAGCCUUUGUGCUGCACUUUCCACAACAUUAUUCAAAAAUAAAAUAAAAUUGCACCCGAUUCUAA